UACGUAGGGUGCGAGCGUUGCCCGGAAUUAUUGGGCGUAAAGAGCUCGUAGGCGGCUUGUCGCGUCGUUCGUGAAAACCUGCAGCUCAACUGCAGGCUUGCGGUCGAUACGGGCAGGCUAGAGUUCGGUAGGGGAGACUGGAAUUCCUGGUGUAGCGGUGAAAUGCGCAGAUAUCAGGAGGAACACCGGUGGCGAAGGCGGGUCUCUGGGCCGAUACUGACGCUGAGGAGCGAAAGCGUGGGGAGCGAACAGG
rnacentral:rRNA from 1 species